AAGACCUUGCGCUUUUGGAGCGGCCGAUGCCUGAUUAGCUUGUUGGUAAGGUAAAAGCUUACCAAGGCUUCGAUCAGUAGCUGGUCUGAGAGGACGACCAGCCACACUGGGACUGAGACACGGCCCAGACUCCUGCGGGAGGCAGCAGUGGGGAAUUUUGGACAAUGGGGGCAACCCUGAUCCAGCCAUGCCGCGUGAGUGAAGAAGGCCUUCGGGUUGUAAAGCUCUUUCAGCCGGAACGAAACGGUUACGGAUAACACCCGUGACUACUGACGGUACCGGAAGAAGAAGCACCGGCUAACUACGUGCCAGCAGCCGCGGUAAUACGUAGGGUGCGAGCGUUAAUCGGAAUUACUGGGCGUAAAGCGUGCGCAGGUGGUUUUGUAAGUCAGAUGUGAAAGCCCCGGGCUCAACCUGGGAACU
rnacentral:rRNA from 1 species